AAGCACACAGCAGACUCAUCAUAUUGAUGCCCAGACAGAAAUGCACUAUUGGCUCUGGAACAAAAGAAGUAGAUUGUAAGUAGUACAUUUAAUCAGCAAUAUCAGAGAAGGGACAAUUGCACAAAUGAUGGGCACUGUGGAAAUCUCUACAAACAAUAAGAGGAGAAUGCACAUAAAUGAAUUCUAGAAAAAAGUGUUAUUUGAGCUCAUCCCAACUAUGGCUGUAUGAUAUUGAGAUUCAGCUAUUCACACUUAGGAAAACUGAGGGACUCAAAAAAAGAGGGAGCUCUGUAAUUGGAAAAACAACCCUGGAGUGAGUCCAUCUUCAGGAGAGCCUUGGAGACACUGGGAAGGCAGCAGAGAAAGAGAGAGAAACAGAGAUAGAGAGAUAAAAGAAGGCUGUAUAUAUUAACAAGCAGAUUCACUGAUGCAUUGUGAACAGAGCAAGAAUUUAUGAGAAGAUGCGUGUUGCUGAAGAGAUGGCAUGAGAAAUGAAAGAUGCACUCAGGGCCGGUUUCCCAGAGUUCACUUCACCCUGCGGCUGAUUAUGUCAACGCAUGUCUAGAUCUGGCAGUGCUCAUUUGGAUGGCAGUUGUCACUAAGACGGAUGUCCAUUAGCGAGACCACCACUCCGCUAGACUGAACAAACACAGACACAGCUCAGCUUGAGCUCUGCGAUUGUCAGGCAUUUUCAUGUGCUCAGAAUUCUAGAAUUCUAGAGAUGAUGAUUCUAGAUUCUCUGUUAUAUGAGAGAGGCAAUCUAUCAUAGUAAUGUACAGUCUGUCGGUCAUUUUUGCUAAUUAAAUCUGAUAAAUAAAUAAAUAC